rnacentral:rRNA from 1 species
AUUGAACGCUGGCGGCAGGCCUAAUACAUGCAAGUCGAACGAGUGGCGGACGGGUGAGUAAUGUCUGGGAAACUGCCUGAUGGAGGGGGAUAACUGCUGGAAACGGUAGCUAAUACCGCAUACCAUCGGAUGUGCCCAGAUGGGCUUAGCUAGUAGGUAGGGUAAAGGCUUACCAAGGCGACGAUCCCUAGCUGGUCUGAGAGGAUGACCGGCCACAUUGGAACUGAGACACGGUCCAAACUCCUACGGGAGGCAGCAGUAGGGAAUAUUGCACAAUGGACGAAAGUCUGAUGGAGCCAUGCCGCGUGAGUGAAGAAGGUCUUCGGGUUGUAAAGUUCUGUUAGUGGGGAAGCGGUACCCACAGAGAAAGCCCCGGCUAACUCCGUGCCAGCAGCCGCGGUAAUUC